rnacentral:rRNA from 1 species
GAUGAACGCUAGCUACAGGCUUAACACAUGCAAGUCGAGGGGAAACGGCAUUGAGUGCUUGCACUCUUUGGACGUCGACCGGCGCACGGGUGAGUAACGCGUAUCCAACCUUCCCAUUACUGUUGGAUAACCUGCCGAAAGGCAGACUAAUACCGCAUAGUCUUCGAUGACGGCAUCAGAUUUGAAGUAAAGAUUUAUCGGUAAUGGAUGGGGAUGCGUCUGAUUAGCUUGUUGGCGGGGUAACGGCCCACCAAGGCUACGAUCAGUAGGGGUUCUGAGAGGAAGGUCCCCCACAUUGGAACUGAGACACGGUCCAAACUCCUACGGGAGGCAGCAGUGAGGAAUAUUGAUCAAUGGACGGAAGUCUGAACCAGCCAAGUAGCGUGCAGGAUGACGGCCCUAUGGGUUGUAAACUGCUUUUGUAUGGGGAUAAAGUUAGGGACGUGUCCCUAUUUGCAGGUACCAUACGAAUAAGGACCGGCUAAUUCCGUG